rnacentral:rRNA from 1 species
GACGAACGCUGGCGGCGUGCCUAAUACAUGCAAGUCGAACGAAGCUGUUUUAACUGGUGCUUGCACCGACUUAAACAACUGAGUGGCGAACGGGUGAGUAACACGUGGGUAACCUGCCCCAAAGCGGGGGAUAACAUUUGGAAACAGAUGCUAAUACCGCAUAACCACAGAAACCACAUGGUUUCUGUGUCAAAGAUGGUUUCGGCUAUCACGUUGGGAUGGCCCCGCGGCGUAUUAGCUAGUUGGUAAGGUAAUGGCUUACCAAGGCAAUGAUACGUAGCCGAACUGAGAGGUUGAUCGGCCACAUUGGGACUGAGACACGGCCCAAACUCCUACGGGAGGCAGCAGUAGGGAAUCUUCCACAAUGGACGAAAGUCUGAUGGAGCAACGCCGCGUGAGUGAAGAAGGUUUUCGGAUCGUAAAACUCUGUUGUCAGAGAAGAACGUGUGCGAGAGUAACUGCUCGUGCAGUGACGGUAUCUGGCCAGAAAGCCACGGCUAACUACGUGCCAGCAGCCGCAGUAA